rnacentral:sRNA from 1 species
ACACCUCCGCGGGCACUCACCCAGGCCGGCCGCUCACAACCGAGCGCAGGGCCCCAGAGGGAGACCAGGAAAGUCGAAGGCGGAGCAGCUGGAGGCGACCAGCGCCGAGCGAGGUCAAGUGGAUCCGAGCCGCAGAGAGGGCUGGAGAGAGUCUGCUCUCCGAUGGCUUUGCCCACUGUCUUCGCAGUGGGGACACCGGACCGAGUGCACACUGGAGGUCUCAGAGCACAACGAGCGCGGAGGACCGGGAGGCUCCCGGGCUUGCGUGGGCAUCACGUGCCCUCCCCCCAUGUCCGUGGAACAUGCAGACAUCUGGGUCAAGAGCUACAGCUUGUACUCCAGGGAGCGGUACGUUUGUAACUCUGGUUUCAAGCGUAAAGCCGGCACGUCCAGCCUGACGGAAUGUGUGUUGAACAAGGCCACCAACGUCGCCCACUGGACAACCCCCAGUCUCAAAUGCAUUAGAGACCCUGCCCUGGCUCGCCAAAGGCCAGCGCCACCCUCCACAGUAAUGACGGCAGGGGUGACCCCACAGCCAGAGAGCCUCUCCCCUUCUGGAAAAGAGCCCGCAGCUUCAUCUCCCAGCUCAAACACCACAGCGGCCACAACAGCAGCUAUUGUCCCGGGCUCCCGGCUGACGCCUUCAAAAUCACCUUCCACAGGAACCACAGAGAUAGGCAGUCAUGAGUCCUCCCACGGCACCCCCUCUCAGACAACAGCCAAGACCUGGGAACUCACAGCAUCCGCCUCCCACCAGCCGCCAGGUGUGUAUCCACAGGGCCACAGCGACACUGCUGUGGCUAUCUCCACGUCCACCGUCCUGCUGUGUGGUCUGAGCGCUGUGUCUCUCCUGGCAUGCUACAUCAAGUCAAGGCAAACUCCCCCGCUGGCCAGCGUUGAAAUGGAAGCCAUGGAGGCUCUGCCGGUGACUGGGGGGACCAGCAGCAGAGAUGAAGACUUGGAAAACUGCUCUCACCACCUAUGAAACUCGGGGAAACCAGCCCAGCUACGUCUGGAGUGAAGGAGCCUCUCUGCUUUAGCUAAAGACGACUGAGAAGAGGUGCAAGGAGGUGGGCUCCAGGAGCAAGCCCACCAGGCCUCUCAGACGUCCCAGCAGGAUCUCACGGACUCCCGGGUCGGCGCCUCCUGCGCGAGGGAGCAGGUUCUUCGCAUUCCCAUGGGCACCACCUGCCUGUCGUGCCUUGGAUCCGGGGCCCAGCUUCCCAGGAGAGACCAAAGGUUUCUGAGUAGGAUUUUUAUUUCAUUACAGUGAGAGCUGCCUGGAAUACAUGUGGUAAUGAAAUAAAAACCCUGCCCCAAACCUUCCAUCCCUCAUCCUGACUUGCAGUUCUCAGAGAAAAGUGACAUACCCAAAGCUCUCUGUCAAUUACAAGGCUUCUCCUGGUGUGGGAGAUGUCUACAGGGAAGACACCAGCGUUUGGGCUUCUAACCACCCUGUCUCCAGCUGCUCUGCACACACGGACAGGGACCUGGGAAAGGUGGGAGAGUUGCUGAGCCCAGCGAAUCCUCUCCAUUGAAGGAUUCAGGAAGAAGAAAACUCAACUCAGUGCCAUUUUACGUAUAUAUGCGUUUAUAUUUAUACUUCCUUGUCUAUUAUAUCUAUACAUUAUAUAUGAUUUGUAUUUUGACAUUGUACCUUGUAUAAACAAAAUAAAACAUCUAUUUUCAA